UUGGGAGAAUAUUAAAAAAUCUUAGUAUGCCUAUCAAUUUUCAGUGCUGUUCUGCCACGGACGGCAGAACAAGGCUUCACGAGUCAUGGACGACUCGUUGAACGCCGUUCACGUCACUUCAAAAUACCUUUAUAAGGCAUACUUAGAUUUUCUUAUAUUCGUAC
rnacentral:ncRNA from 1 species